GACAGAGGAUGCAAGCGUUAUCCGGAAUGAUUGGGCGUAAAGCGUCUGUAGGUGGCUUUUUAAGUCUGCCGUCAAAUCCCAGGGCUUAACCCUGGACAGGCGGUGGAAACUACCAAGCUGGAGUACGGUAGGGGCAGAGGGAAUUUCCGGUGGAGCGGUGAAAUGCGUAGAGAUCGGAAAGAACACCAACGGCGAAGGCGCUCUGCUGGGCCGACACUGACACUGAGAGACGAAAGCUAGGGGAGCAAAUGGG
rnacentral:rRNA from 1 species